ACGGAGGGAGCAAGCGUUGUUCGGAAUUAUUGGGCGUAAAGGGCACGUAGGCGGCAAUGUAAGUCAGAUGUGAAAGACUCGGGCUCAACCAGAGAACAGCAUCUGAGACUGCAUAACUAGAAUCCAGGAGAGGGAAGUGGAAUUCCGGGUGUAGAGGUGAAAUUCGUAGAUAUUCGGAGGAACACCAGUGGCGAAGGCGGCUCACUGGACUGGUAUUGACGCUGAGGUGCGAAAGCGUGGGGAGCAAACAG
rnacentral:rRNA from 1 species